rnacentral:rRNA from 1 species
UACGGAGGAUGCAAGCGUUAUCCGGAAUGAUUGGGCGUAAAGCGUCCGCAGGUGGCUGUGUAAGUCUGCUGUUAAAGAGUCUAGCUCAACUAGAUACAAGCAGUGGAAACUACACGGCUAGAGUACGUUCGGGGCAGAGGGAAUUCCUGGUGUAGCGGUGAAAUGCAUAGAGAUCAGGAAGAACACCGGUGGCGAAGGCGCUCUGCUAGGCCGUAACUGACACUGAGGGACGAAAGCUAGGGGAGCGAAUGGG